UGGAGUGCGGCUGAUGCAGCCAAGACCUUUAAAAGAAGUUUACUAAUGUCUUCCCUCGACGCAUCUUCCUGCCAACAACACCAGUGGCUCACUGUUCCGACCAUUUUUCAUCACUGAAACAUUUUAUAGAUGUUCUAAUAAAGAAAACAUGAACAACAGCAGGAACCUUUCAAUGUCUGAACGACGCCGGUCCUGGGGUUUGCGUAGGGGCCAGGAUCGUCACUGGGAAUGGGGUCAAAGGUAAUGGUGCC